GAGACUAGCAAUCCCAUAAACCGUGGCUCAGUUCAGAUCGUAGGCUGCAACUCGCCUACGUGAAGCAGGAAUCGCUAGUAAUCGCAGGUCAGCAUACUGCGGUGAAUACGUUCCCGGGCCUUGUACACACCGCCCGUCACACCAUGGAAGUUGGCCAUGCCCGAAGUCGUUACUCCAACCCUUGUGGAGGAGGACGCCGAAGGUGGGGCUAAUGACUGGGGUGAAGUCGUAACAAGGUAGCCGUACCGGAAGGUGCGGCUGGAUCACCUCCUAA
rnacentral:rRNA from 1 species